rnacentral:rRNA from 1 species
GAUCAUGGCUCAGGGCGAACGCUGGCGGCGUGCUUAACACAUGCAAGUCGAACGGAAAGGCCCUUUGCUUGCAAGGGGUACUCGAGUGGCGAACGGGUGAGUAACACGUGGGUGAUCUGCCUUGCACUUCUGGAUAAGCCUGGGAAACUGGGUCUAAUACCGGAUAGGACCAUGCUUUAGUGUGUGUGGUGGAAAGUUUUUUCGGUGCGAGAUGAGCCCGCGGCCUAUCAGCUUGUUGGUGGGGUAA